UCGAGUCUUUGAACGCAAGUUGCGCCUGAGGCCAGCCGGCGGAGGGCACGUCCGCCUGGGCGUCAAGCUUCGCGUCGCUCCGUGCCAGCUCCGCUCCGCCAGAUGGGCGUGUGAUGGGCGUGGCUCGGACGUGCAGAGUGGCCCGUCGCGCCGCUCGGUGCG
rnacentral:rRNA from 1 species